rnacentral:rRNA from 1 species
ACGGGUGAGUAACGCGUAUGCAACCUACCUACAACAGGGGAAUAACCCGGAGAAAUUCGGACUAAUACCGCAUAAAACAGGGGCUCCGCAUGGAGAUAUUUGUUAAAGAUUUAUCGGUUGUAGAUGGGCAUGCGUUCCAUUAGUUAGUUGGUGAGGUAACGGCUCACCAAGACAUCGAUGGAUAGGGGAACUGAGAGGUUUGUCCCCCACACUGGAACUGAGACACGGACCAGACUCCUACGGGAGGCAGCAGUGAGGAAUAUUGGUCAAUGGGCGCGAGCCUGAACCAGCCAAGUCGCGUGAAGGAAGACUGCCUUAUGGGUUGUAAACUUCUUUUAUACAGGAAUAAAAAGAGUUACGUGUAACUUAUUGCAUGUACUGUAUGAAUAAGCAUCGGCUAACUCCGUGCCAGCAGCCGCGGUAAUACGGAGGAUGCGAGCGUUAUCCGGAUUUAUUGGGUUUAAAGGGUGCGCAGGCGGGUUGUUAAGUCAGCGGUGAAAUAUUCAGGCUCAACCUGAAGACUGCCGUUGAAACUGGCAAUCUUGAGUAUAGAUGAAGUAGGCGGAAUUCGUUGUGUAGCGGUGACAUGCUUAGAUAUAACGAGGAACUCCGAUUGCGUAGGCAGCUUACUAAGCUAUAACUGACGCUCAUGCACGAAAGCGUGGGGAUCAAACAGGAUUAGAUACCCUGAUAGUCCACGCCGUAAACGAUGAUUACUAGUUGCAUGCGAUAUGAUAGUAUGUGACUAAGCGAAAGCGAUAAGUAAUCCACCUGGGGAGUACGCCGGCAACGGUGAAACUCAAAGGAAAUUGACGGGG